UGAACGCUGGCGGCGUGCCUUAGGCAUGCAAGUCGAACGGGUCCGAUUCGUCGGACCAGUGGCAGACGGGUGAGUAACGCGUAGGAGUCUACCCUUUGGUGGGGUAUAGCUCGCUGAAAAGCGGGGUAAUACCGCAUGAACUCGUGAGAGUAAAGGCCGUAACUGGUCGCCGAAGGAGGAGCCUGCGUCCUAUCAGCUUGUUGGUAAGGUAAUGGCUUACCAAGGCUAUGACGGGUAGGGGGCGUGAGAGCGCGACCCCCCACAAGGUCACUGACACACGGGACCUACACCUACGGGUGGCAGCAACCGGGAAUAUUGCGCAAUGGGCGAAAGCCUGACGCAGCGACGCCGCGUGGUGGAAGACGCCUUAUGGGGUGUAAACACCUUUUACGAGGGAAGAAGAUCUGACGGUACCUCGUGAAUAAGGACCUGCAAGCUACGUGCCAGCAGCAGCGGUAAUACGUAGGGUCCAAGCGUUAUCCGGAUUUACUGGGCGUAAAGUGUUCCGUAGGCGGUGGUUCAAGUAUGUCGUUAAAUCCCGAGGCUCAACUUCGGAAGGGCGAUGUAAACUGGACUACUUGAGGAUGUUCGGGAGUGCUGGAAUUCAUGGUGGAGGGGUGAAAUCCGUUGAUAUCAUGAAGAACACCGAGGGCGAAGGCAGGCACUUAGAACUUUCCUGACGCUGAUGGACGAAAGCUAGGGGAGCGAAAGGGAUUAGAGACCCCUGUAGUCCUAGCCGUAAACGAUCCUUACUAGAUGGUCCGAUUUAUUGGGCUGUCGCAAGCUAACGCGUUAAGUAAGGCGCCUGGGGAGUACGGCCGCAAGGCUAAAACUCAAAGGAAUUGACGGGAGAGCGCACAACCAGUGGAGCAUGUGGUUUAAUUCGACACAAAGCGUAGAACCUUACCUGGGUUUGACAUGACUCUGCACGUCUUGCGAAAGCAAGAUUCUUUCGAAGGUGAGUCACAGGUGGUGCAUGGCUGUCGUCAGCUCGUGUCGUGAGAUGUCCGCUUCAGUGCGGUAACGAGCGCAACCCUUGCCGUGUGUUGUAUAUUCACACGGGACUGCCGUGCUACAAGCACGGAGGAAGGCGAGGAUGACGUCAGGUCAGCAUGUCCCUUAUAUCCAGGGCUACACACAUCCUACAAUGGGGAGGACAACGGGUCGCGACGCCGCAAGGCUGAGCUAAUCCUUCAAACCUUCUCUCAGUUCGGAUUGCAGGCUGCAAUUUGCCUGCAUGAAGUUGGAAUUGGUAGUAAUCGUGGGUCAGCAGACCGCGGUGAAUACGUUCUCGCUCUUUGUACACACUGCCCGUCAAGCCAGCGAAGUUGGCAGUGCCCGAAGUGGUCCGAUUUAUCGGACUCCUAAGGCAAGGUCAGCGAC
rnacentral:rRNA from 1 species